UAAAGCUAAUGCUCCAAGCAUAUGCUUAGAAGAUCCUCUGAUUCCCACAAAAAGCUAAAAUUAUUUGUUUAAAUCCCACAACCUCUCUCAUUCCUUCUCCUUGAGGCAGGCACCAUCCAUGGCCUCCCCCCUAGAAACCUCAAGUGUUUCAGCCUUUCAGGCAUGGCAUCCACACCGUGCAGUGGCGACAUCAAAACAUAUGAAUCCUGAGCUCUAAAUUCAUGUCGCACGUUUGAUAUGAUAGGUGGGCAACUAAUGAUCCUUUGGCAAAGCAGCUGUAAUGAGAUGAGAUCGGAUGGCUAUCUAUGGACUAUGGCUCCAGCAGCGUAACCAAGUUCUCUGUUCUUCGUCGGUCGGCAAUUUAAAUAUGUAAUGCUUCAACAAACCUUUCUUAAUCUUGUUUAGAGGCAAUCUGUAUUUGGUUACACAAAUGUAUUUGACCAGAUCUUGGCUCCUUUGACUCCUUCCAACUCCUCGAAUCAGCCUUCGAAAGGAGAGAAUGGAAGGACUCGACCUGUCAACAGUAGUACAAUCACUAUCAUAUCCUAAAAUUUGAGUUGAGGUGGAUGACCAAAUGAUCACACUCUUGUCUAUUUCA